rnacentral:precursor_RNA from 7 species
AACAAGUUCUUUCAUGCAGAGCUGGAGGGGAGGCAAGAUGUUGGCAUAGCUGUUAACCUAAAAACCUGCUAUGCCAACAUAUUGUCAUCUUUCCUGUCUGUUUGCGUCAGAGACAGAUU